UCCCUCCCUCAUUCACUCUCAUCUGAUUUUUGAAGACUCUCUCAAGUGUUCUCUCCAUUUUCAACCCCAAGAACACCAAAGAAACUUGGAAGCUAAGUCUUGGUCUAGGAAGGGUUUUCCCUAAGGUAAAGUUUCAUUAAUCUAGACUUUUGUCAAGUUUUAAUCAUAGAGUUUCAAAUAGCUAAUUACCUAUGUUGUUGGGGGAAGUUGGUUAGGGUUUUUGAAAGGUUUUGGAGGAGCCAAAGCUAAUAGGAAGGUCAAAACCUUAAGCAAGAACACCAAAGAGUAUUGGAUAAGCGUAACUGGACUGAACGUUGGAGGGUGAAAACUUGCUGAGCGCUAAGGACUCCAAGUAAGUGCAAGGGCAAGGCAGAGCAGUGAGCGCUGGAGUCUUCCUUGCAAAUGUACAUGUGGACCGACCUUUUGGGAAGCCGUUUUAUUUUUGGAAAUGUUGUGUAAUUUUCCUAAGCAAGGCUCACUCUACUCUUUAUAAAAUAUGUUUGUAACUAAAUGUUAAGUAUGGCCAUACGACUUUUUAAAAAGUUUUUUUUUUAUACGGGUUUUUGAGACAUUUUGUUAAAUGAAAACAUUUAUAUUUCCGCAUUAUCGAGUCUUGAAAAUCUGGGUCGUUACAGAAACUCUCAAGACAAAUAUGGAGAAUGUCGAGACGGCCUAUGAAAUUAUCGACCAGUUCCAAGACAUGUUCGGUGCAAAGUCUGUGCAGACUUAAUUUGAGGCCACCAAGAAAUAUGCCAAUGCUCAGAUGGCACCCUCUCUGCACAUUCGUGAUCAACUCAACUAUGGUCUGACGCAGCUCAUGAACCAACUUCAGACUUUCGAGUCAAUCAUGGGUGGACUAAGUAAGGGAGGAGAAAAGAAGACUAUUGUUGCUACUGCUGAUCCAGCUAAGGCUGAAGCUAACCAAGCUUAGUCUUCGAAAGCUAGAAACAAGAGGAAAGAUUGACAAAACAACAACCCAAGGCCUACAAAGGAUGCAAAGAUGAGUGCACAACCAAGUGCACAGACACCUAAGGGGAAGAAAUAGAAGAACAAGAAAGGUAAUGGUAAGUGCUUUCACUGCAAAGAGAAGGGGCAUUGGAAACAAGAUCUCCCCAAGUUUCUAGCAGCGAAA